AAAGAAUAGCUAGUAGCUUGUCAAGGAGAGGGGAAAGCCAUCCUCAGCCCAUCUCUUACUCUCUGCUAAUAUUUUUGCUGUGAGCAAAAUGGAUGUGACACGGCCCAUCCCACAUGAACCUCCAUUGACAAUUCUUAGCCAGGCAAACACCACCACGCUGUCUCCUGCCACAGCUCUGUCUUUUAUGGCUCCUGACAAAAGGUUGUUGGAUUCUGCGUUGACAAACAUUAACAUGCAGUACAGUCAUUAGACAAACAGUAUGAUUUGGGGGUCAAUCCUUGUUUCCCUAAAGUUUCCUCAGGUUAUAAUUCACUCUUCCUCUCAGGCUAUCUCAUCUUAGCUCUCUUACACUUGCCUACAUUCAUUGGGCUAGCCAUGGAGGCAAUGCAUUCUGCCACAGCCUCCUAUCACGGCCACUAGUUUUUCUUUAAAAACUUAGAAAUGGGGAGAUGCAGAGGUCAUGAGAGUUCUGCACUCACCGAGAAGCACUAGGAGGGAAGAGUCUGGAAUAAUCCUUCUGGGGAAUUGGUGUGAGGUCUGUCCCUACAGACCGCAGAAAGGUCACCAGGUCACAAACCUCUUCCAGCCUCAACUUUCUGGAUGGAAUGCAGGUAUUUGGUUUUCUCUCCUCCAUGAGGAGACCCCCCUGCAUAAUUAACAUUCCUGGUUCUUUAGUGUUUCUCUGUGAGUGCAAGGCCCUUGUGUCCACUACAGGUGUGGGCCCAAGCUUGGUGUAUGGAAGGUGGUGGAUUGUGUUGAAAGGUGGGACCCAGUGGGAAGUCUUCAGAUCACUGGGGACCUUCCUGUAGGAGAGACAGUGGGGACCCUUUGUUUUCUUUCUUCCUGGACCUAGUCUGACCAACUUUGCUCUGCCAUACAUAUGCACAGUGGUGUGCUACCUUGCCACAGAGAUCUCCUUCCUGCCCUAAAAAAAUAGUGCUAGAUAAGCAUGAAUUAGAAGCUCCACAUAACCACAUUGUAAGUAGAUUGUCUCAGGUAUUUGUGGCAGGGAUGGAGACAUGACUAAUAUGGUUUGUAGCAACAAGUGAAGUUGGUGGCGUUGCAAUAUCCAUUCUUGAGAGAGGUAUGGAUGACAGAGAAUGGUCCUCAUCCUCCCACAGUCUGCAGAGCAUAAGAAAGAAUGUUCUUAAAACUAAAACACAGCAAAUCUGGUUUCUACUAAACAGACCUGCUGCAAUGCAUCAAUGUUAGUGCUAAAAAGCAAGAGUACAAGCCACCAAUGAAAUGAGAUGAAGUUUUUUGUGGCCCAAAUAGGCACCAAAUUCUUUAAGCUCCUGCACGUUCCCAGGAUCCAGCCUUGGUCCAAGGCCCUUUCUGAGCACAGGAGCAUUAGCCUCCAGCCUCACACUGGGACGUCAGUCUUCAGUGCCUACCCCAGAGUAAGAUCUCAUCUUCCAGCCAUUCUGCUCUGGUCUUAGGUGGCCAGUUUACAAGUCCAAGUAAACACUGUUAGAGGUGUGUUGCAUCCUGAGAAGAACUGUACCUGGAUUGACCUCUGGCUUCUUGCAUUUGCUUGGCAGAGGCAUGGGAAGCCAAUUUGGAUCAAACAUAUGAUGUACAUUUAUGAAUAGUGAAGUCUAUUGUCCUGCCAUAUCUGCAGCUUCCUGCAAGAAGCCACUACCUGCUGAGCUGCUGAGCUUGUCUUCCUGACGAGAUCCUGUUAAUCUGUUUCCACUCUUCCAAUUUCUGAAAGAUACUGACAUAGAAGCUGACAUAUCAGAAGACCAGGCAUGACAAAGUUUCUUCUUGUAUGUUUCUUAUCUUCAGUAUUCCUGAAAUAAAAUAAGAAGUCUGUAACAUG